CAGAUCCUAAGAGGCAGCCGAGGGUGGCGAACCUGAUGAAAUCUGGUCGAUCGAAUACUGCUUCCGCUCUUGCUUUCAGUCACCUUUAGCAAGGUCUGGUAAAUCUCUCUAGCCCCCUCAGUCCCACGUUCUCUCUGGUCUCCGCAUCGAGUCGUUUUCUUGCUGAUGGACCGAGCGAUUCGAUGAACCGGUUUGAAUUUCCGGCUGUUCCGAUGAACGAAUGCAACCACGGCGGGUCGGUGAAAGCCGACGGUACUUCGUGUGGCUUCAAGACCGCUGCGGUUCAGCUGUUGCCUGGGGCUCUUUGUUCUGUCCGACUGGCCGGGGUUGCGGUGAGGACGGAUCGAAUGGAUUCGAUUGGAAUGUGUUGCGACUUUUAUAGUUUCAGCCUUGAUUUUGGGUUCUCUGUUUUGAGCAAAAUGUUCGAGGUUCGACUUGAACCAUGUGGAAUGGCCCUCUUCCCUUUAAACGAAGGGCUAUGUGAAGAGGGUAGAGUUGCACAAUCUACUAGGUCGGUUAACGAAAUAUUGUGCAUUGGAUUCGAUGCCGAUAUGAUUGCUUGUGGAGUGAGUACGAAGGGGUUGUGCAGGAUGGGUAAUGCUUGCUGAUUCUUCUGUCACAGUAAAGUUUGGAAAUGUUAGAAAAUUUUACAUGAGAUGAUGUAAAACUCACCCGGAACAGAGAGCAGCUUUUCAAAUGCAAAUAGCAGCUUUUGAAAUGCAAAGAGAACUACAGUGGUAUAAGGUGAAUAGGGACCAAUCCAACUAAAAAAAUUUUGAAAAGAAAAAACUGGUUGAGAGUUGAUACCAUUCUCCUGACGAUGGCCAUGGUAGGCCGAAACCAGUUGAUGAUACUUAAUAGAUUAGCUACAGUUUCAUUAGUCUCUUGUCUAACAAUAUCUGAAAAAACUACAAUAGUCGGUCUUUUAUGUCUAUGAUAUAUUAUAGCAGUGGCUUAGACACAGUUGGUAUGAAGACUCAACUAAAUCAGUUGAGAUCUCUGAACAUGGAAUUGGGAAAAUACAUCGGUAUAGACUUGGAAUUUUAUCUGGUCCAUUCUGUGCUGAUCUUUUUGUCUUUCCUCCAAACAUGCUUCUGAUGGAGAGGGUCAAGCUCAAGCAGUCUUCCAGGACGGAUGAUUCAGAACUGUAGCAGCUAGCUCUAAUGCAACAGCAGAGCUUGUGAUUUCGCAUAUGAAAGGGAAGAUUGGCACAGACAGAGACCGAGGUAAUUUUUUGCUCGGAAUCCCCGCAUCUGCACCUCAACCUCCAUCGACAUGUAUUCUGGUUAUAAGAUUCGACUUUCGCUAUGACACCAAUUUCUCCGAUCUGACAUUAAAAGAGAAGACGUACAUUAAACGCUGCUAAAGUUAUUCGCAUUAUGUAUGGAGAGAACUAUAGUCGCCUUUAGUUCAUUGGGGAAUUGGGCAAAACGUGUGAGGCCAGCUCAUCAAUCUUGUUAUCCAAUGCGCUCAGAUGGGCAUCUUGCUGCCUGACGUUCAUCUCUUUAGGAUGGCAACGUAUUUGAAGAUUCUCGGCCACAAAAGCAGAGUGGAACGGGGCAUUGGGCGAAGCAGUGAAAUGGCCGAAAGUGAUGAUUAUGGUUACCAUUGUUUGCUUGAGAUCAGUGAAAAUGAUGGCAACUCUCAAAGUAGUCGAAGAUGGAGAUGCGACGGGGAGCAGGGAUGGUUGACAUGAAUGAAAAUGAGGAGAUUUCUGGAAAUUGAUUUCUCUCCGAGAGAAAAACCUUUGAACCCGAUCUCCUCAACUCAAAAGCGUUCGACCAAGGGGCACAGUCCAGUAAUCAUCACCGUGUUUAAAAUAAAAAAGUUAGUUUUUUUUUUCCUCUUGGAUGAUCUGCAUUUAUUUGAGUUUUGUACAGAUUGAAUGUAGUUGGCAUGAAUUAAACAUGGAUUGGUGAAUUCAUCAAUAUAGACUUGGAACUUUUCAAGAUCUUGUAGAUGAUUACUGUUGAAGCUCGAGAAGUUGUUGUGUCGCAAAUAGUCUUUGUAGCACAGAUGAUUACAUGCGACUGCGAUGAGAAGUCUGGCUCGGCGGUAUCUCUAUAACUCAAUUUGAACUGCAUUCCCUCAUUUUUGGCUCA